CAGCAAGUUUUAAUUACCUGCAGAUGGGGUGGGAGUAUGUGGGGAAAUUGCUAUCUCAGAGUAAAUCAUUGCCUCCCUUCCUUUUAUCCCUUAUGCAAUACAGAUCACUGAGUCUGCCUACUGACAGCAGCAGGACCAGGAUUUCCUAAGCCUACUAUUGGGGAUCUAGUUCUGAAAAUGAUGGAAAAUUCUGGCAGUAUUUUGAACAGAGUUCUUCCAGCUGGAAGCCUUCAAUUUUGAUAAAUGCUCUGUAUAUGUUGGCUUGAUGGAAAGCAUUAAACUGGUGUAGGAUCAGACCCAUCACUGAGAACAGCAAUGGUUUCCUUUUUCUGCCUGCACAACAACAUAUUUUUGUCUGAUGCCAUCAGGCUGUUUGAGAAGAAGCUAACCUCCUACUGGAGCCAGUGAAAGGAAGAAAUGCAAAAUGCACUAGGAAUGGCUAGUUUCAUCAGCUAAGCAGAAGAUGCAUGUGGACUGCCCUCUGUGUAAACUGCCCAGCUACAUACUCACCUCCUGCCUGGCCAGCCAGUUCCUCAGCUCCUGGGUCAGCCAAAUGCCUUGGGAAAGGGCUAAACUUCAUGCCAUGGCUCUUUCUCGAUAAAGGAGUGGACAAAGAUUUUCUAUGUGACCCAGCCUCAGUUUUCAUAAGGCACCUGCUCCUCUCUGCAGUUUGGGUGAUGUCCCGACUCUCAGGUUCAAAAGUUUCUAGAAGGAGAGUGACGGAUUGACACAAAGACUUGCAACUCCUCCAGCAAUCAAGCCAGAAACAUACUCUGCCAGGAAUACUAUGUGUUGAUGAAAAGUUUUAUGAAGAAGAACACACACGUAUCUGAAACAGAAGGAAAUAAGUAUCAAAAAAGCACAGCAAAUCCAGUAUACAGAAACAACAUAUGCAAUUACUUGAGUAUAUACCAAGAGAAUUUUGUAUACCACUUAGGGCACACCAUACUGGUGUUUAAAAAGAAAAUCCUCUUAGAUUUCAUCACACUAAAAAUUUACCAUCUGUUAUAUGGAAGUUUGUUUUUCCCUUUCGUUGUAAUUAACUUUUUAUUGAAUUAAUUACUCCAGGUGAGCUGGAAGCAGCUGUUCUACCUCACCUGGUGUGGCUGAGUGUGCCCACGCCCAGCCUUGCCCAUUCACCAUUCAGAUGCAAAUCGUCCUGCUCCCCACACGAAAUCCUUGGCACACACCCAAAAAGCCUGCUAGCGACAAAAAACAAUAAAAUGGCAGGCAGCUGCUGCUGCACAGAAGGGGAAAAAAGUUUUAGUGAAAAAGACAUAUAUUUCCUGCUUGGUCAUUUAAAAAUGUGUAUUUUACUGAACAAAGCAGGUGAGAAAAUAUUGCAGAAAAAGAGAGAGUGAAUUUUAAAUAACUUUUGCAUGGCACCUACAGGACACUGACCCUUUUUGAGCAUGACAUUGAAUAAUUUUGCUGCUUUGAUGCAUUAUGCUUCUGUCUCUGUCUGUAUACAUGUGUACACACAGGCACAAGCAGUGAAGAAAACCUGUCAAGAAAUUAAAAUAAAGCAGUGAGCUGAACUGGAUUAUGAAAGAGUUCUGUUAAUUGCAGUAAUAU